UACAGAGGCCUCGAGCGUUAGGCGGAAUCACUGGGCUUAAAGCGUGUGUAGGCGGACUUCUAAGUACCUUGUGAAAUCCCACGGCUUACCCGUGGAACUGCUGGGUAUACUGGUUGUCUUGAGCUUUCUAGGGGCGAGUGGAACAAAUGGUGGAGCGGUGAAAUGCGUAGAUAUCGGGAGGAACACCGGUGGCGAAGGCGGUUCUCUGGGCCUUACCUGACGCUGAGGAGCGAAAGCGUGGGUAGCAAACAGG
rnacentral:rRNA from 1 species